UGUUGUUGUAAGAAGGAAAGUUUACUUCCUUCACUUGAAGUCUUGAAGUGCGGUAUCUUCGAGCAAGCAUCGUUGAGACUUGUGUUCUCAGUUUGUAACGGUUUGUUAAGCACCCGUAAGCUUGACGGAGUUAGUUGAAACUCGAGAGAGUCUCUCGGGAAACUGGACUAACCACACGUUGUGGCGAACCAGUAUAAAUUUGGUGUGUCUUCUCUUUAC
rnacentral:lncRNA from 1 species